AAAAAACCCACCCAGUAGUGAUUUGAGGUUUUCUUCUUGAAGCCUUCCUGACUUUGAACAUAAAUUGCAUCUGUUUUGGUAAGCAGGCUACCAGCAAGCCAGACCUGUUCCUGGGAUUACUGUGACCACAGCUACUGCUGCCCUCCUGGCUGUUUGUAGCAGCCAGAGAGCACCUAAUUCUUGUAUCCCAGACCUUAAACCUCAGCCCAGCAGCCUCCAAGGGAUCCUCCCUGCUUGGGGUGCUCUUUGUGGGACUGCUGGUGGCUCUGGAUCCCAAGGAGAGUUCCCAUCCCAUCACCACCAGCUGCCAGCUUCGGGAUCACGGCCACCCAGGGAGUUGGACAUCAUGGAGCUGGGCACACACCAGGGAGCUGACUUGUGUCUGACUCCGAGUUCAGUCUCCAAACAUAAAAGAAGAGAAAGUCAGGACAGAAAAGCAUCGGAGCUUUCUUCUUCCUCCACACCUGCUGUUCCUGGUCGUCAGGCACUUCCAAAGAGGAGAGUUCUCCAAGUUCCCAGUCAUUACCCUUUACAUAAGCAUAAUAUAGUGCUGCACUUCCUACAGGGAAGCUAUCUAUUGUAGCAAUCUGUAAAACAAAAGCUGGAUUGCUCCCAUUGCUCCCAGAAUCAAAAAGCUGCCUGCUGUUCCUCAAAUGGGAAGGCUGAAAGCCUUCAUCAGAGGGUAGUUCAUUUUUACACGACAUUUUUACACUCAAGCAAAACUGAAAGCAAGGCAUAAUUUGAAACAGCCACGCUCGCCGUUAGAGCAGAACCACACAAAUAAAAUGCCUGGGAUGAUGGAGUUGAAUAUGUUG
rnacentral:lncRNA from 1 species